rnacentral:rRNA from 1 species
AACGAACGCUGGCGGCAGGCUUAACACAUGCAAGUCGAGCGCCCCGCAAGGGGAGCGGCAGACGGGUGAGUAACGCGUGGGAACGUACCCUUUGCUACGGAAUAGCUCCGGGAAACUGGAAUUAAUACCGUAUGUGCCCUACGGGGGAAAGAUUUAUCGGUUCUGGAUGAGCCCGCGUUGGAUUAGCUAGUUGGUGGGGUAAUGGCCUACCAAGGCGACGAUCCAUAGCUGGUCUGAGAGGAUGAUCAGCCACACUGGGACUGAGACACGGCCCAGACUCCUACGGGAGGCAGCAGUGGGGAAUAUUGGACAAUGGGCGAAAGCCUGAUCCAGCCAUGCCGCGUGAGUGAUGAAGGCCUUAGGGUUGUAAAGCUCUUUCAGUAGGGAAGAUAAUGACGGUACCUACAGAAGAAGCCCCGGCUAACUUCGUGCCAGCCGCCGCCGUAAUAC